AGACUGGGCCUGUUUCCAAGCUUUGGCUGGAAAAUGGGACGUGGAGCUGGAUUCUCCAGCUGUGGGAAGGUUCCUCAGGAAACAGGAGGAUCAGAGCACAUUUGGGCGGUGGAAUUGUCCCCACGGAGCCUGGGAGUGCAGAGAGAGGAGGAGGAAGAGGAGGAAGAGGAGGAAGAGGAGGAGGAGCAUCCACAGCCACGUCUCCUGUCUCCCAGAUUUCCACUCUUAUCUUUCUGCAUGGAAAGGUAGGAAUAGCAGUGAAAUGUAAGAAUAACAGUGAAAUGUUCCUGCUGUACUCCACAUCCAGGGCUGCCUCUAAAGGGUGACCUGGCAUGGGAGGCAGAUAAAUAAAUAAAUCCCUGCUGGGCUCAGAGCA